AAAAGAAAAUCCACGGAAAAAUGAAAAAUUAAAAUUAAAAUCCGAGGUGUAGCUGUGUCAGGUGGUGGACGGGAAGAGACGGAAGUGGUGGUGGGUUUAAAGACGAAAGAGAAAAAUAGUCAAAGAGAAGAGAAGAGAAGAGAAGAGAAGAGACGAGAGGCAUUAAUUAACCAGAUCAUUACAAUUUUGGGCAUGAAUCACGUAGGUAGGAAAUAGAAGCAAUGAUAAAGACACGAGUGUAGAUUACGACGUCGUGUUAUGAUUGUAACAAUCAUAUUUCAAAGUCAAUAACUUGCCAGCCGACCCAACACUAAAGUCCAAUUUGGUCGGUUUCUUUCUCACCUUCUUUACGGCAAUUAAUCAAUAUCAAUGUAUUUGCUUGCUUCACUUGUUUUGUUCAUAGUCAAUUAUAGGAAAACUUAGCAUUCCAUUUUCUUCAAAUUUGUCUUCUAAGCUUCAGUCAUUAUCAUAUUGUUUCGUGGGUUAUAGGUAAGUGAAAGGUUUCACAAAUCUUAUUGUUAUGGGAAUUUAUCAUGUGUCCGUGUAGUAAAAAGGUGAGUGUGCAUGUACAUAUAUAUAUAUAUACACACACACACACACACACACAUCAUAAAUAUACAUGUUAAAUUAUCAA